AGAUUGAACGCUGGCGGCAUGCCUUACACAUACAAGUCGAACGGCAGCACGGGAGCAAUCCUGGUGGCGAGUGGCGAACGGGUGAGUAAUACAUCGGAACGUGCCCAAUCGUGGGGGAUAACGCAGCGAAAGCUGUGCUAAUACCGCAUAAGAUCUACGGAUGAAAGCAGGGGAUCGCAAGACCUUGCGCGAAAUGGAGCGGCCGAUGGCAGAUUAGGUAGUUGUGAGGUAAAGGCUCACCAAGCCUUCGAUCUGUAGCUGGUCUGAGAGGACGACCAGCCACACUGGGACUGAGACACGGCCCGGACUCUACGGGAGGCAGCAGUGGGGAAUUUUGGACAAUGGCGAAAG
rnacentral:rRNA from 1 species